AUUGCUUCUCAGCCUUUUGGCUAAGAUCAAGUGUAGUAAUAUAUAAAUAAUAAUAUAUAUAUUGUUGUGGACAAUAUAUAUUGUCCACUGCAAUAAUAGCAACUAGUAGUCUAAAUAAGUGAGCUUUGCUAUUUGAAAAGUUGUUUGUUGUUUUUUUUCAAAUGUGAAACAACAAUCAAAUCAGU
rnacentral:snRNA from 1 species